GAUGAACGCUGGCGGCGUGCCUAAUACAUGCAAGUCGAGCGAACAGACGAGGAGCUUGCUUCUCUGACGUUAGCGGCGGACGGGUGAGUAACACGUGGAUAACCUACCUAUAAGACUGGGAUAACUUCGGGAAACCGGAGCUAAUACCGGAUAAUAUUUUGAACCGCAUGGUUCAAUAGUGAAAGACGGUCUUGCUGUCACUUAUAGAUGGAUCCGCGCUGCAUUAGCUAGUUGGUAAGGUAACGGCUUACCAAGGCGACGAUGCAUAGCCGACCUGAGAGGGUGAUCGGCCACACUGGAACUGAGACACGGUCCAGACUCCUACGGGAGGCAGCAGUAGGGAAUCUUCCGCAAUGGGCGAAAGCCUGACGGAGCAACGCCGCGUGAGUGAUGAAGGUCUUCGGAUCGUAAAACUCUGUUAUUAGGGAAGAACAAAUGUGUAAGUAACUAUGCACGUCUUGACGGUACCUAAUCAGAAAGCCACGGCUAACUACGUG
rnacentral:rRNA from 1 species